rnacentral:rRNA from 1 species
AGUAAUGUCUGGGAAACUGCCUGAUGAGGGGGGAUAACUAACUGGAAACGGUAGCUAAUACCGCAUAAUGUCGCAAGACCAAAUGGGGGACCUUCGGGCCUCAUGCCAUCGGAUGUGCCCAGAUGGGAUUAGCUAGUAGGUGGGGUAACGGCUCACCUAGGCGACGAUCCCUAGCUGGUCUGAGAGGAUGACCAGCCACACUGGAACUGAGACACGGUCCAG